GGUGACCUGCGGAAGGAUCAUUACUGAGUGAGGGCCCUCUGGGUCCAACCUCCCACCCGUGUUUAUUGUACCUUGUUGCUUCGGUGCGCCCGCCUCACGGCCGCCGGGGGGCUUCUGCCCCCGGGUCCGCGCGCACCGGAGACACUAUUGAACUCUGUCUGAAGAUUGCAGUCUGAGCAUAAACUAAAUAAGUUAAAACUUUCAACAACGGAUCUCUUGGUUCCGGCAUCGAUGAAGAACGCAGCGAAAUGCGAUAACUAAUGUGAAUUGCAGAAUUCAGUGAAUCAUCGAGUCUUUGAACGCACAUUGCGCCCCCUGGUAUUCCGGGGGGCAUGCCUGUCCGAGCGUCAUUGCUGCCCUCAAGCACGGCUUGUGUGUUGGGCUCCGUCCCCCCGGGGACGGGUCCGAAAGGCAGCGGCGGCACCGAGUCCGGUCCUCGAGCGUAUGGGGCUUUGUCACCCGCUCUGUAGGCCCGGCCGGCGCCAGCCGACAACCAAUCAUCCUUUUUUCAGGUUGACCUCGGAUCAGGUAGGGAUACCCGCUGAACUUAAGCAUAUCAAUAAGCGGAGGAAAAGAAACCAACAGGGAUUACCUCAGUAACGGCGAGUGAAGCGGUAAGAGCUCAAAUUUGAAAGCUGGCUCCUUCGGGGUCCGCAUUGUAAUUUGCAGAGGAUGUUUCGGGAGCAGCCCCCAUCUAAGUGUCCUGGAACGGACCGUCAUAGAGGGUGAGAAUCCCGUAUGGGAUGGGGUGUCUGCGCCCAUGUGAAACUCCUUCGACGA
rnacentral:rRNA from 1 species